rnacentral:lncRNA from 1 species
ACUUUGGGGUGAGCAAUCAUUGUGGAUUUCAACUGACCAUCAAAAUCGUAUCUGCCAAUGGUUUUCAAGUCACCAGAUGGAGUAAUACGAACAUGGUAAGGCAAAUCAUCUUCAGACAUGGCUAGAAGGUGGCCGUUGAAGUAAACAAGUCCCGCGUUAGCAACACCAGUGCCAUGGCUUGGAUCAACGAGUCCACAUAAACCUCGAGCAUAGAAAAGUAACAGUCUAGCUAUGCCUGAAUGACCAUGGAGUUCACCUAUGGCUUUAGGGAAAACAGGACGCCCAAAAGCUCGUUCUUGAACCAAACGGUUGGUUUCAGUGAACCUACAAGCAUAGCUAGCUGAGCCAUUUUUGAACUGAACCGCAUGAACCAUCCCAUCCCCAUCGAAGAAAUGGUGUCCAGCCACCGGUUCAUGAAGCGGGUUGGCUCCGUUUCGAGCAUAGACUCCUUGUAUGCAAUCCGGGAUUGUUCCAAUAACGGGAAGCCUUUGUUUAACAGGUUGUUCAGGGACCGGAGCAAAGUUACCGGAGAUUUGUACACCAGGGUCAGCUGUUUUCGGCAAAGGAUGUUGACGCUCAUGAGAAACUAAAGCAUUCUCCACCGCAUCUAAAGCCAUAGCCGCC